rnacentral:rRNA from 1 species
CCUACGGGUGGCUGCAGUGGGGAAUAUUGGACAAUGGGGGCAACCCUGAUCCAGCCAUGCCGCGUGUGUGAAGAAGGCCCUCGGGUUGUAAAGCACUUUCAGUGAGGAAGAACGCCUGGUGGUUAAUACCCAUCAGGAAAGACAUCACUCACAGAAGAAGCACCGGCUAACUCCGUGCCAGCAGCCGCGGUAAUACGGAGGGUGCGAGCGUUAAUCGGAAUUACUGGGCGUAAAGCGCGCGUAGGUGGCUUGAUAAGCCGGUUGUGAAAGCCCCGGGCUCAACCUGGGAACGGCAUCCGGAACUGUCAAGCUAGAGUGCAGGAGAGGAAGGUAGAAUUCCCGGUGUAGCGGUGAAAUGCGUAGAGAUCGGGAGGAAUACCGGUGGCGAAGGCGGCCUUCUGGACUGACACUGACACUGAGGUGCGAAAGCGUGGGUAGCAAACAGGAUUAGAUACCCUGGUAGUC